rnacentral:rRNA from 1 species
UACGUAGGGGGGCAAGCGUUUGUCCGGAUUUAUUGGGCGUAAAGAGCGUGUAGGCGGUUUGGUAGGUCCGUUGUGAAAACUCGAGGCUCAACCUCGAGACGCCGGCGGAAACCAUCAGGCUAGAGUCCGGAAGAGGAGAGUGGAAUUCCUGGUGUAGCGGUGAAAUGCGCAGAUAUCAGGAAGAACACCCGUGGCUAAGGCGGCUCUCUAGUACGGUACUGACGCUGAGACGGCGAAAGCGUGGGGAGCGAACAGG